CCUACGGGGGGCUGCAGUGGGGAAUAUUGGACAAUGGGGGCAACCCUGAUCCAGCCAUGCCGCGUGUGUGAAGAAGGCCCUCGGGUUGUAAAGCACUUUCAGUGAGGAAGAACGCCUGGUGGUUAAUACCCAUCAGGAAAGACAUCACUCACAGAAGAAGCACCGGCUAACUCCGUGCCAGCAGCCGCGGUAAUACGGAGGGUGCGAGCGUUAAUCGGAAUUACUGGGCGUAAAGCGCGCGUAGGUGGCUUGAUAAGCCGGUUGUGAAAGCCCCGGGCUCAACCUGGGAACGGCAUCCGGAACUGUCAAGCUAGAGUGCAGGAGAGGAAGGUAGAAUUCCCGGUGUAGCGGUGAAAUGCGUAGAGAUCGGGAGGAAUACCAGUGGCGAAGGCGGCCUUCUGGGCUGACACUGACACUGAGGUGCGAAAGCGUGGGUAGCAAACAGGAUUAGAUACCCGUGUAGUC
rnacentral:rRNA from 1 species